CUUCCCCGCGCCUCCACACCCUCCCCUCGAAAUGCUCUAUCGGUGGCGCUUUUCAGCCUUGCACCGCCGUCGCACCUUUCGCCACCGCCGCACCGAACCUCCAUUGCACUGAACUUCCAUUGCCCCGUCACACCCCUUCCCAGCUCUUCUAUGUGUGUUGCUCGCAUUGUUCCCUUUCGAACCCUAAUAUGCAUUUCUCCGCCACCGUCUUCGUCGCCUUCGUCUACCUUCGCAAUUUUAUAAAACUAUAGCACCGAUCGCUCAUUCAGCGGCACUAACCAUAACCAAUGGCGUCCGCCGAGCAGCCAUUGAAGAAGCAAAACCACGACACUCUCCCGGAAUCCCCACUGCCACACCACCGCCGCUAGCACCGCCGCCACAAUCUCCUCAAACCCUAACUCGUCCUCCUACUCCUCCUCCUCCGCCUCUGUCACAGGAUGAGGUUGUCACCAAGCAGAGGAACAAAGAUGGGGUUCGAACCAUGUUUGAGAGCUACCGUUGCAUCAAGCUCUUCUUGUCAAAGAAGGAAGGUGAUUUCAUCCAUGACCUUGAAUAGAGCUUCUUCGCUCUCGUAAAUGCUUCCAGAGGUCUAUGAACUGGACUUGAUAUUCAACUUCCAUAAGUUUCUCAGUGGAAUAGAGAAUUAGGGGAAUAACAAAGUACUUCCAAGUCUGCAAUGAUAAAAAGGUAGGUCAUUCAUAUUCUUUUGUUCUUUGACUUUAUUUGAUAAUGUUUUGAAUACUAAUUAAAAUGAAAAUCAAGACCUAAAACUAGAGCUUGUGAAACUAAAAAUGAAGCUAAAAGAGAUCGAGAAUUUCACACUGAUCAAAUAAGGAAUUAGCAGCCCUAUGGUAAGUGCCUUCCCUUCUAUGCAUUGAGGCUCUUUAUGAUUUCUAAAGCAUCUUGGUACCUACUUCCUCUGGCUUGGGCAUGGACAGGGACUGCAGUAACUGGGGCCAUGACUGUCCUUACAAAUCAUUUUCAAAGAACAAAUUAGUUGAGGACAUUGUUGGAACUCUAGUUUCUUUGUCACUAAUUUUUCCAAAUGAGCCAUGGCGAUUUAAGCAUGACAGACACCAUGCAAAGACGAACAUGUUGUAUGAAGAUAUUGCUUGGCACCCUGUUUGGAAAGAUGAGUUUGAUUCAUCUCCUGUUUUGCAAAAUGCAAUAAUAUAUUUCGAACUUGGAUUUCUAUAGCUCACUGGUUGAUGUGGCACUUUGAUUUGAAGAAGUUCAGGACAAAUGAAGUAAAGAGGGUCAAGAUAAGUUUAGCUUGUGUUUUUGCCUUUAUGGCGAUUGGAUGGCCGUUAAUUAUUUAUAAGACAGAAAACAUGCAAUGGAUUAAAUUCUGGUUCAUGCCAUGGCUGGGUAAUUUCACUUUACAUGUAAAAUUUGAUAUAUGGUUAUACCAUUGGAGUUGGUAACAUAGUUUUCAGUAUCAUAUCAUAUCAUAAGCCACACUGGUUAUUUUUUGAUAAAAGAUGAUCAUUUCAAUAGUGUUUAUAAAUUGUAAAAUGGAUACUAUUAAUUUAUUCUCAUAUAAUCUGACGAUCCCUUUUUCAGGCCUUUUCCUAACAUAUCUUGGGCUAUACUUGAUGAAAGGUCAUAGACAACCAGCACUUCUCUACCUUGUUCCAUGUACCUUAGUACUUUAAAAUUUUUGCAGCAAAAAAAGUGUAGUUCCCUUUCCACUUGAUCUAUACCACUUGAUCAAGAAGGCUGUCUCAAUUAGGAAGCACUUGGAGAGGAAUAGGAAGGACAAGGACUCCAAAUUCAGGUUGAUUUUGGUAGAGAGCAGGAUCCACCGCCUUGCAUGUUACUACAAGAAGACCAAGAAGCUUCCACCCGUAUGGAAAUAUUAAGUAUCAAAUAUGCAUUUUCUUUAAAUCACAACGGUUUCUUAAUGUGCUUGAACUUUUAUUUUGAUGACUAGACACCAGGAUGAUGCAUUUCAUGAGUACUUCCAUUUUUUAAAAUCCUUGUGGUUCCCUGAAUUGGGUUUUGUGUGAUUCAUAUUUUAAUUGUGCUGUUUGUUCAACUUCUUGCUUCUUAGGCUUAUCUGUGGAUUACGACCACAUACACAGAGAGUAGAAAAGGUGGUGGGGAUUGGCUUUCAACUUGGACUAGACCCAGGAAAGUUUGGGUGUUUGAGCUGUGUUUGUAACAUCCCAAAAUUGGGAGAAGAAGGACAAGCUGAGAAAGGAGCCAAGGAAGGAGGAUCUAAGGUUCUCGGCCAAGUUUUGCUGCAAACUAGCCACAUUCUCCCUUAAAGCUUCAUUUUUCAGCUUAAAAAAAGUAGGAUAUUCUUGUUUAAUUGAUUUAGUUGAAUGCAUGUGAUUGUAAGCUAAUUAGCAAGUAGGAUAUUCAUGCACUAUAUCUUACUCUAAUUACAUGUCGGCACUAAAAACAUCUAGCAAUUUGUUUAGCUUGGCUUGGCUUGGCAAAUAUACACGCUAAGAGAUUUCUUAUUCCAUAAGAUUUGACUACAUGCUCUUUUAAUUAAAUAUUUGUUUGUGAUGAAUUAUAGUUGAUGUAUCAACACACUUUGAUGUAUGGUUGUUACUUAAUAUUAUAGUUGAUGUAUUAAUACA